rnacentral:tRNA from 1 species
GCGAAUGUAAUUCAGUGGUAGAAUGUCUGCUUGCCAAGUAGAUUGUCGUCGGUUCAAAUCCGAUCAUUCGCU